AGCGAACGCUGGCGGCAGGCUUAACACAUGCAAGUCGAGCGCCCCGCAAGGGGAGCGGCAGACGGGAGAGUAACACGUGGGAACAUACCUUUUGGUUCGGAACAACUGAGGGAAACUUCAGCUAAUACCGGAUAAGCCCUUACGGGGAAAGAUUUAUCGCCGAAAGAUUGGCCCGCGUCUGAUUAGCUAGUUGGUGAGGUAACGGCUCACCAAGGCGACGAUCAGUAGCUGGUCUGAGAGGAUGAUCAGCCUCACUGGGACUGAGACACGGCCCAGACUCCUACGGGAGGCAGCAGUGGGGAAUAUUGGACAAUGGGCGCAAGCCUGAUCCAGCCAUGCCGCGUGAGUGAUGAAGGCCUUAGGGUUGUAAAGCUCUUUUAACGGGGAAGAUAAUGACGGUACCCGUAGAAUAAGCCCCGGCUAACUUCGUGCCAGCCGCCGCCGUAACAC
rnacentral:rRNA from 1 species